rnacentral:lncRNA from 1 species
AUGAACAAAGCUAGUAGAGGUGAUGGAAUUCCAGGUGAGCUAUUUCAAAUCCUGAAAGAUGAUGCUGUGAAAGUGCUGCACUCAAUAUGCCAGCAAAUUUGGAAAACUCAGCCAUGGUCACAGGACUGGAAAAGGUCAGUUUUCAUUCCAGCCCCAAAGAAAGGCAAUGCCAAAGAAUGCUCAAACUACCCCACAACUGCAUUCACUAGUAAAGUAAUGCUCAAAAUUCUCCAAGCCAGGCUUCAACAAUACAUGAACUGUGAACUUCCAGAUGUUCAAGCUGCUUUUAGAAAUGGCAGAGGAACCAGAGAUCAAAUUGCCAACAUCUGCUGGAUCAUGGAAAAAGCAAGAGAGUUCCAGAAAAACAUAUAUUUCUGCUUUAUUGACUAUGCCAAAGCCUUUGACUGUGUGGAUCACAAUAAACUGUGGAAAAUUCUGAAAGAUAUGGGAAUUCCAGACCACCUGACCUGCCUCUUGAGAAAUCUGUAUGCAGGUCAAGAAGCAACAGUUAGAACUGGACAUGGAACAACAGACUGGUUCCAAAUAGGAAAAGGAGCACGUCAAGGCUGUAUAUUGUCACCCUGCUUGUUUAACUUAUAUGCAGAGUACAUCAUGAGAAACACUGGGCUGGAAGAAGCACAAGCUGGAAUCAAGAUUGCUGGAAGAAAUAUCAAUGACCUCAGAUAUGCAGAUGACACCAGCCUUAUGGCAGAAAGUGAAGAGGAACUAAAAAGCCUCUUGAUGAAGAUGAAAGAGAAGAGUGAAAAAGUUGGCUUAAAGCUCAGCAUUCAGAAAACUAAGAUCAUGGCAUCUGGUCCCAUCACUUCAUGGGAAAUAGAUGGGGAAACAGUGGAAACAGUGGCUGACUUUAUCUUUCUGGGCUCCAAAAUGACUGCAGAUGGUGACUGCACCCAUGAAAUUAAAAGACACUUACUCCUUGGAAGAAAAGUUAUGACCAACCUAGACAGCAUAUUCAAAAGAAGAGACGUUACCUUGCCAACAAAGCUCCAUUUAGUCAAGGCUAUGGUUUUUCUAGUAGUCAUGCAUGGAUGUGAGAGUUGGACUGUGAAGAAGGCUGAGCACCCAAGAAUUGAUGCUUUUGAACUGUGGUGUUGGAGAAGACUCUUGAGAGUCCCUUGGACUGCAAGGAGAUCCUACCAGUCCAUUCUAAAGGAGAUCAGCCCUGGGUGUUUUUUGGAAGGAAUAAUGCUAAAGCUGAAACUCCAGUACUUUGGCCACCUCAUGCGAAGAGUUGACUCAUUGGAAAAGACUCUGAUGCUGGGAGGGAUUGAGGGCAGGAGGAGAAGGGGACGACAGAGUAUGAGAUGGCUGGAUGGCAUCACCAACUCAAUGGACAUGAGUCUGAGUGAACUCCAGGAGAUGGUGAUGGACAGGGAGGCUUGGCGGGCUGCAGUUCAUGGGGUCUCAAAGAGUCAGACACGACUGAGCAACUGA